rnacentral:sRNA from 1 species
CAACUUCCCAUUACCCAAUUAGCUCUUAUCAGAGUCCCUCCAAAAUAAGAAACUCACGAAAACAGGGCGAUAAGAGUUGAGGGGAGAUUAUGAUAACAUCACCGCCCACCGAAAACCACCCACUGAAAGCAGCUGUUGGCCCCCAAAUUAACAGCUGGCCACGUUUGCUCAAUUUCAACGCUCAGUCGCACAUAAUAUACACUUGACCGAC